rnacentral:rRNA from 1 species
CUUACCAUGCAGUCGAACGAUGAACCACUUCGGUGGGGAUUAGUGGCGAACGGGUGAGUAACACGUGGGCAAUCUGCCCUGCACUCUGGGACAAGCCCUGGAAACGGGGUCUAAUACCGGAUACUGACCAUCUUGGGCAUCUUCGAUGGUCGAAAGCUCCGGCGGUGCAGGAUGAGCCCGCGGCCUAUCAGCUAGUUGGUGAGGUAAUGGCUCACCAAGGCGACGACGGGUAGCCGGCCUGAGAGGGCGACCGGCCACACUGGGACUGAGACACGGCCCAGACUCCUACGGGAGGCAGCAGUGGGGAAUAUUGCACAAUGGGCGAAAGCCUGAUGCAGCGACGCCGCGUGAGGGAUGACGGCCUUCGGGUUGUAAACCUCUUUCAGCAGGGAAGAAGCGAAAGUGACGGUACCUGCAGAAGAAGCGCCGGCUAACUACGUGCCAGCAGCCGCGGUAAUACUA